UACAGAGGUCUCAAGCGUUGUUCGGAAUCACUGGGCGUAAAGCGUGCGUAGGCGGUUUCGUAAGUCGUGUGUGAAAGGCGGGGGCUCAACCCCCGGACUGCACAUGAUACUGCGAGACUAGAGUAAUGGAGGGGGAACCGGAAUUCUCGGUGUAGCAGUGAAAUGCGUAGAUAUCGAGAGGAACACUCGUGGCGAAGGCGGGUUCCUGGACAUUAACUGACGCUGAGGCACGAAGGCCAGGGGAGCGAAAGGG
rnacentral:rRNA from 2 species